rnacentral:tRNA from 1 species
GCCAGUAAAAACAGUAAGUUAAAUGUGGUGCUUCACAUUCGUAAUGCGAAGGUCGUAGGUUCGACUCCUAUUAUCGGCACCA